UACGUAGGGUGCGAGCGUUGUCCGGAAUUAUUGGGCGUAAAGGGCUCGUAGGCGGUUUGUCGCGUCGGGAGUGAAAACCUUGGGCUUAACUCAGGGCUUGCUUUCGAUACGGGCAGACUAGAGGUAUGCAGGGGAGAACGGAAUUCCUGGUGUAGCGGUGAAAUGCGCAGAUAUCAGGAGGAACACCGGUGGCGAAGGCGACUACCUGGCCUGUUCUUGACGCUGAGGCGCGAAAGCUAGGGGAGCAAACGGG
rnacentral:rRNA from 1 species